CCAUCAGGAAGCAGAGGGACCCCUGGGCUCCUGCUAAUUCUGUCCGGUGGAAAGCCAGAGAUCAAGGGGGCCUGGUGAUGCAGACUAUAGAUGCCAAUCUCCAGGGAUGCAGAGCAGGGCAAAGGACAGGAGCGUGAGGUUAGCUGGGCAACACCAGACACGGGUGCUAUUUUUAGAAGAAGCCCACACAGGUGCCAGGCAGCCCGCAUACGACCCAAGCAGGCGGUCAUGAUGAGGCCAGAAGAACAACACCAGGCAGGUGACAGGAGUUAGAAGAACAGGGCCCACAGUUCCCCAGCCUGAAGGUCAAGAGAAACACCACCAGAGAAGAAAGCACAGGCCAUAUUAGAUGAGAAUUUCAACUGCCUGGAAAUAGAUGACUUUGCUUCUUUUUUUUAAAACCUGGCUUCAUUAAGAUGAUGGUAUCCAAUGUACCCAGGUGCCUUUGUUUUUUGCCCCUAUGGAGAAAAUGAGACCAGGGAGUAAAGAUGUUUGAGGCAGUCCCAAGAGUCUCCAACUGAGUACCUGUGACAGAGAAUGAACUGUUUAUCUUUGUCAAUAUAGCGAAUAUGGAAAACUGUAAUGCAACAGUGCAGACCAUUUUAUCAUGGCCACCCCAUCUCUAAAGAAUAAUAGCUAAUUGGAAUCCUAGUGCAGUAAUGGCCAUAAAAGCAAGGCUCUUAGCUGAGAUUGAGGGAAAGAAGCACUUUAGCAAUUGCACUUCCUUUACUUGUCAAAGGAAGGGAUCUCUGCCCAAAGACUCAGUCCUUGCACCUGUUGACUUCCACCUUCUUUUCAGCAAAGAGGGAACGUCCACUGGCUCAUUUACUUCUGCUGCAGAAUGACCUGCCAUCCAGCAAGGCAUCCGACGAUGCCAGCUCCAGCUGAGUCAGAAGGCCAUUUCUCAGAUGGCAAGGUCUCCAUGCUGCGCCCUUCCUCACUGACGUUUAUCUCCUUCAUGCAACUGCGUGUACCUGAGUGCUCCUCGACGACUGAGCUGUGACUCUUCCACUGGGUUCUCUGAUUGCAGUCAACCCAGUGACCCCGCUAAAGGUUCAGGGAUCACCUAGAGUGAGUGACUCCGAAGGACAGUGCCAGGCAGUGAUGCCUUGGUUGCAGGACUGGCAGGCUUUCUAGGAUGGAGUAAAAGGAAGCCCUGACUUCUAGCGUUGGCUAAUUUUUGUGGUGUAAAUACUGUCAUGACUGAUUUCACGUCCCCAGUAUGCCUUCACCGAGCAAGAAAUCGGGAAGAGACUGACAGUUGGAAUAGGUGUAUGGCAUUUCCACCACAUACACACAAUAGAUGAAAACAAUCUCAAGACCAUUGACAUAG
rnacentral:lncRNA from 1 species